AACUCCCCCACCGUUUGCUUCAAAUAUUACUUCCUGUUCCGAACCACUGUCAGAGCGUCUCCUUUAACAAGGCUUCCCUGCCUCCCUGGGUUAGAAGAGAACAGAUUUCCACCUGAGCAGCGAGGGAGGGGCGGCGGGAAGAACUCGGGCCCCAGGAGGACUUGAUGGGGGAUCGUUUCUAAGCUGCUCGACUUUCCAGUUUUGAGAGAGCGGGCAAGCCCUCCGAGCCCAUCCCCGCCUCCCUCCCGUUAGACCUGAUGUACAGACGCCUGUCCUCCCAUUUUCCCUCCUGCUUUGAAAACCCAGAACGGGGACACCUGUGAGUCCGGUCCUCUUCCCCAGCCUUCGUCCUGGGAGGUGACAGCUCACUGCGGCCCUUGGGGAUCUGCUUCUUGUGCGUCCAAGCUGCAGGGCUCAGGCAUUUCACCAGAAGGCCGCAGAGGCAGACCCGGAACCUGGCCAACAGCCAGAGCACGGUGGCCAAAGGCUAGGCGUGCGGCUGAACCCAACGAGAGUCCCCUCGGCCGAUGUGCAGCGAGCCCACGGAAACCACCACCCAGUGUCGCAGUGAGGAAUGACGGGCUAAGUGUCGGUCUGGCCCCACCCGGGAAACUGGGAGCCAGUGCUCUCAAGUCCCGAACUCCCUGACGGCUUGCAAGUGAGGGUUUUUUCAAGGGCAACAUUUGGGGCAGGGGUCUCCUGAGAAGGUGGGCGCCGUUGACUGGAGCCCCGUGAGGUCGUGUUAGAAAAACCUGUGUUCCUGCUUCAUCCGGGCCCCUGGAGGUGAUUCCCUGUCAGGGGAUUUGCAGUGUGAAAAAUGCCUCCAUUCCUCACAUUGGGGGUGUCACCAGUCUGCAGAUUCAGAUGAGCUUGUUCUUAGGAGGCAAGCUGCCGGUGGUUGUUGCGCUUCGCUGGACUUUAAUCCUCGGUCUCUCCCUCCUCGGCCACUUCCACAUUCUAGACCGGAUCCUCCCUGGAAGAACGAACCGAGCACGGACACUCGGCGUGGAGGUGCCCCGCACUUCCGAGUUGGCACCCUCACGUCCACCCUCCCAUCCUGCCCUCACCAGCAGGACCAGGGUCUGGGAUAACAGAACAGGAGGAGGGAACCGCAGAGUUGAGAGCGGACGGAGGAGGCAAAGCGACAUGCUGCCCCCAGCUGCCCAAGAUGUGCAUUGCAAUCACCUCCAAUUCAACUGCUUUCUCCUAAAAUGCCUUCAGCUGCCCAUUAGUGGGAAAUUACAGAAUAAAGAAAAUAAAGACGAUGUCCCCGGAACAUUUUUUCCAGUGCUUAAAGUGCCCCCAACUUCCAGGGAUCCAGGGUCUUCAGAAUAUAAACCACUGAGUUUAUAGGUAAAACUGUUUAUGUGGGAUGCUUUUCCUCUGCAAAUAAUAAUUUAGGAAGAGAUCAGAAAUGGCAGUCAGCAGGGGCCCUGGUCCUGGCACCUCAUUUCCUGCCCAUGGAACCAGUGGGGGACAUGGUUUCCUGAGCACACAGGCUCUGCACCAAAUCCAGAUAUGAUCAACCACCCCAGGAGGCGGUUAUACUCCGGUGAGAAAUGCAGACGUACUCUCCGACCUGAAGUUAUAUGCAAUUAUUAUUACUUAAGUAGGCUUUGUGCCCAAUGCAGAUCCCAACGUGGAUCUUGAACUCACAACCCUGAGACCAUGACCUGAGUUGAGAUCAAGAGUCAGAUGCUUCAUCGACUGAGCCACCCAGGCUCCCUGACAAUUAUUAUCGUUAACGUAAAUGUCUAUCAGGGAAUAUUUAUAUUAUCUCCCAGAGCCUAGAUUGGUAUAGAGUGCCUAAUUGCUGAAAAUUAUCAAGGAUGUUCGUGGGGAAAAUGGGGACUAGUUAAGUGUUAGAAAGCGAAAUCACGAAAGUGCAAAAGAGUUAACACAGUGUGGCUGAGACCACUGUCCUCAAGAAAGGCCUGCUUGCAAGACUGGCCCUUCACCGGUAUCUGGGAACCCAGAUUUUGGGAGGAUUCCCUCCAAUCCCUGAUAAUAGGCUCCCUAUGCCUACGCUGUGCUAUGAUAACUCCUGCUGCUGAGAACCUGCUUUCCUUCUGGGAAUCUGGAAUUUGGGGACGUGCCACACGAAGUGCCUAUAUGACUUGCCCCCAGUGAAAGCCCGGGGAGCUGACUCUCUAAGGAACCUAGACCUGGUCGACAAUCUUUGACACACACGUUGCCACAACUCAUUGCUGGGCGGCGUGUCCCGAGUGACUCCACAGGACAGGGUUUAGAAGCUUUUGCCUGGUUUCCUCUGGACUUCGUCUCCUGUGCCUUUCUCUUUCCUGAUUCGACUUCCUUUCCUCUGGUGAAAGUAAAUCAGAGCCAUGAACAUUGCUGUACGCUGAGUCCUGGGAGUCCUCCCAGCAGAUCAUCAACCUGGGGGUGGUCUCAGAGACCCCGAUCGACACCCAGCUUCCAGUUCUGGCGGGACCAGCAAAGCUGACACACUCAUGCCUGGCUGGAGAGCAACAUUG